rnacentral:rRNA from 1 species
UACGUAGGUGGCAAGCGUUGUCCGGAUUUAUUGGGUUUAAAGGGUGCGUAGGCGGCCUUGUAAGUCAGUGCUGAAAUAUCCCGGCUUAACCGGGAGGGUGGCAUUGAUACUGCAGGGCUUGAGUAAAGUUGAGGUUGGCGGAAUUGACGGUGUAGCGGUGAAAUGCUUAGAUAUCGUCAAGAACACCGAUAGUGAAGACAGCUAACU